rnacentral:lncRNA from 1 species
CCCUCUGUUCCCAGUCGUGGCUGUCCCAGGUCCUGGUCCUGGUCGACAGUGGCGGACCACUGAGCCACACCUGUCCCUUUCCCAGGCCCGGCCCCCGCCUUAGGGCUGCAUCUCUCCGCGUGUCAGCUCAUCAAACCUGCACAUCUGAACUAUCGCUCCUGAUGACAAAGUUAGAUUGGGGGCCAGUGGGGUCGUUGCAGGUGUGGACCAGGCAGGAGAGGCUUGUUUAGCAUCACUAUGGAAACCCCAGGCACCCAUCUUGGAAAGGUGUUUUAAAAUGGCCGGGUCAGACGCUCAAGGGGCGGAGUCAGUAGAGAGGGGGCAGGGAAAUUCUCUGCCCCUCCCCCCGUGCUUCCGGGCAGGACUGGUGCGGAGCUCUUCAUUUCUCCUCACGCCAGCAGCAGCAGGUCCAGGGCCGUCCCGACUCCCGGAGAGAGAGCUCGGAGUUCAGGGGCUUGCGGGCUUCGACCCGAUGGUGUGAAGUGAGAAUGUCAACUUUUCUGAGCCCCAAUUUGUUUUUCUUCUGCACACUUGGGACAUAUCCUGAGUGACGCUGGACAGAUGCAGGUGGGAUGGGGUGAGAGGAUGGCAAGAGUUGGAAGGAAGGACCGUGGCUGGGUGGGUCCCUCUGGGACAGAGUAGGGCAGGCACAGCUCUAGGGACAUUUCACAGGAAGGAAUGCGGGGGGUGGGCUGCCAGGACGUCACAAGGGUCCCAUUGUGACGCCCCCCCCCCCCAGCAAAGCUGGGGAUUGGCCCAAGGAGCGGAGGGGGAGGGGCAGAUAGGAGGCUGGUUGCCAGGGCCUGAGCCCAACAGGGAGACGACGGGACAGAGUGGUGGCACUCUGGCUCCAGCUCCUCCUCCAGGCCCCUUCAUCCUGACCCUUUCACAGCCUCCUCUAACCAGGACUCCGACUUCCCUCUCCGUCUCCUCUAUCCGGCUCCAGGCGGGCCCCUCCAGGCCCAGCAGAAGCACGGGUCUGUGGACAGGGUGCGGCUGGCAAAGGAUCAGUGGACAGGGUGGGGCUGGCUGCACCACGCGAAUGAGACCUGCCAUAGGGAGACCCGACGCAGGGGCAGAGCGAAGAUGGGGCCUGCACAAAUCUGGCUCCGAUGAGGACUCACCAACCAUCCGGCGUCCUCUCCUGGGUCUCUGGCCCCACGGCCCCACGCUCGGGUUAGGCCUCCAGUUGUUGCCCACUGGCCUCCUCCAGCUUCUCUUCUCCUCCAGCUUCUCUCCUCCUCCAGCUUCUCUCCUCCUCCUCUCUUGUCUGCUCUUGAAUUUCUUUAAAAAUUUCCCUGCCUCCAGGCUCGUUUUUGACUUACCUGCUGAUCAGUCCCUGGAUAUUCACAUCUGCCUGGGGUCACCAAGUCAAGAUGACCGUGGUGGGGAUGGAACUCUGAGUUUCCUGGACCACAGUGCAGGUGAAAAAUGUACCUUAUCAGAGCGAAAAGGAAUGGUCUUAUCACAAGAUCAUUUUGAAAAUGGGCCUCAGGGGACACAUGUCCCUUAAUCCAGUCUGUGAGGUCCUACAACACCAUACUCUGCAAAUUCUAGCAGAGAGGUUGCAGUGAUUUGGGAGAGGCCUCAAAAUCAUGACUGCACCUCCUGGCACAGUUUACCCGAGUGAUGCUCCCUGGCCCCCAGGUGUGUGCAAACAGCCCCCAAGGAUUGCACCACCACUCCUCAGAUGGCAGGACAGCAGCCUCCUUCGGCCUGGAGAGCUUCGCCUCCGUCACUGGUGCCCACCUGGGAAAUCUCAGACUGCUCUGCAAAGGUGCAAUUGGAUGCCCACUCUGAAAGGACAUUUUAUCCCGUUACUGUCCCUCUGGAAUCAUUCACUAACCAAACAUAUAUAAACCGACCUGUCUUCUGUGUGUGGCUUCCUAUGUGCCUGAUAUUGAGGAUGAAAAAUAAAGGAAUAGACUGACUUGGACAUCUGAGCACUGUGGCCCACUUUAGCUUCUCAGAGAACACCAAGUCUCCAGCAAACUCUGCAUUUGCAUCUGGAACCCAAGUGAAAGGCCAAGCUGCUUGGGUGACAGGGAGAGGGUGGCAUGGCUGCCAGCAGGUCCCCAAGACCGAGAGGACACAGGGUUUGCUUAAAGACCCCUCAGCUGGCAGGUGGCAGAUUCAGGUAAAGCCCAAGAGGCCUGGGACCCACACCCCUGUUCCAUGGCUGGUCUCCUUCCCUCAAGUGUCCAGCUGGCCUCAAGUUCACUCUCUCUGGGUGAGGUCCGUGGCCAGCUUCCUCACUCGCUCGAGUAGCAGAAAGGCUGAAAACUGCAGGGGGACACUGAGGGCAGGAGAGCAGCUCCUACCUGCAGGGGUGGUACCCAGGCAGGCACAUGGGGCUCCUGCAGGAACCGCAGUCUGAGGCCUUGUCACAGAAACCAGUGUGGGAAGGAAACAUUUGUUUAUGGAUCUAUGCCAAGAUACCUUUCAUCACGCCACUCUCCUGGUCCCUAACCCUCAAUGGCUCCCCUCUGCCCUAAGAAAAACCAUCUUUAGGCCUCGUAAAAGACAAAUAUACCUCAACCCUCCAAUCCAGGUAAGAUAAGCCAAGAGCCCUCCUUCAAACAUGCCCCAAGCACUCCUGUCUUUGCUCCCAGCUUCCUCCUGUCAUUCUUGUCAGGAAGUUAUUGUCAUUGCCAUUGGAGUUCCAUUCCCUCCUUUCUCCAGCUUCUAACCGCUACCUGCCACCAUGGCCCCAGAGUGAACUCUUUGUUCCCUCCUCUGAAUUCUCCGGGAGUCACCCUCUCUGUAGGUCCCAUUCGACCCAUAGGAAAGGCCCCUUUUUGUCUCCCUUCCAGGACUUUACAAUCAGGCUUCGUUAGAUUUUUCUAAUUCCCCGCUGCUCCUGUUCAGGAACCGUUUUCCCGUUAUUGAUUCAGACAGUGCCCAAACUGUACACAGGCCAAUGCAGGUUUCAGGAAUCCAGCUGGUCAAUGCAGGGUGGAGGGCACGAGGGGUGGGCGCCCGAGGAACCGUAGGAGACGUGGCACGGGGAGAGAGGGGAGGUCUGUUGGAAGACGCCCAGGGACUGGUCCGGCUCUCUCCUGGAAAGUGGGCACUUUGGGUAGCGGUGAUUCGGAGAGGUAUUGGGACCGUGUCUAAUCAUGAGAAAAAUGUCAGAUAAACUCCUGUCAAGAGGCAUCCUACAGUACAUCUGAUCAAUACUGUUGAAAACUGUCAGGGUCAUCAAAAACAAGGAAAGUCUGAGACUGUCGCAGCCGAGAGGAGCCCAAGGAGACAUGAUGACUAAAUGCAAUGUGGUAUCCUGGAUGGGAUCCUAGAACAGAAAAAGGACAUUAGGUAAAAACUAAGGAAAUCUGAAGAAAGCAUGGACUUCAGCUAACAUUAAUGUAUCAAUAUUGGUUCAUUAACUGUAACAAACAUGCCACAGUAGGGUAAGAUGUUAGCCAUACAGGAAAAUGGGUACCGGGUAUAUGGGAACCCUCUGUACUAGCUUCUCCAUUUUUCUGUAAGUCUAAAACUUUUCUGAAA